rnacentral:rRNA from 1 species
GUACAAUAGUAACUGAUUGUACCUUGACGGUACCUAACCAGAAAGCCCCGGCUAACUACGUGCCAGCAGCCGCGGUAAUACGUAGGGGGCAAGCGUUGUCCGGAAUUAUUGGGCGUAAAGCGCGCGCAGGCGGUCCUUUAAGUCUGAUGUGAAAGCCCACGGCUUAACCGUGGAGGGUCAUUGGAAACUGGAGGACUUGAGUGCAGAAGAGGAGAGUGGAAUUCCACGUGUAGCGGUGAAAUGCGUAGAGAUGUGGAGGAACACCAGUGGCGAAGGCGACUCUCUGGUCUGUAACUGACGCUGAGGCGCGAAAGCGUGGGGAGCGAACAGGAUUAGAUACCCUGGUAGUCCACGCCGUAAACGAUGAGUGCUAGGUGUUAGGGGGUUUCCGCCCCUUAGUGCUGAAGUUAACGCAUUAAGCACUCCGCCUGGGGAGUACGGCCGCAAAGGCUGAAACUCAAAAGAAUUGACGGGGGCCCGCACAAGCGGUGGAGCAUGUGGUUUAAUUCGAAGCAACGCGAAGAACCUUACCAGGUCUUGACAUCCUCUGACCACCCUA